rnacentral:rRNA from 1 species
AGCAGCAGCCACGGUAAUACGAAGGGUGCAAGCGUUAAUCGGAAUUACUGGGCGUAAAGCGUGCGUAGGCGGUUUGUUAAGUCUGCUGUGAAAUCCCCGGGCUCAACCUGGGAAUGGCAGUGGAUACUGGCAAGCUAGAGUGUGUCAGAGGAUGGUGGAAUUCCCGGUGUAGCGGUGAAAUGCGUAGAGAUCGGGAGGAACAUCAGUGGCGAAGGCGGCCAUCUGGGACAACACUGACGCUGAGGUACGAAAGCAUGGGGAGCAAACAGGAUUAGAUACCCGGGUAGUCCCUGUCUCUUAUAC